rnacentral:rRNA from 1 species
CCUACGGGGAGCAGCAGUGAGGAAUAUUGGUCAAUGGACGAGAGUCUGAACCAGCCAAGUAGCGUGAAGGAUGACUGCCCUAUGGGUUGUAAACUUCUUUUAUCUGGGAAUCAAACGUUCCACGUGUGGGAUUUUGUAUGUACCAUAUGAAUAAGGAUCGGCUAACUCCGUGCCAGCAGCCGCGGUAAUACGGAGGAUCCGAGCGUUAUCCGGAUUUAUUGGGUUUAAAGGGAGCGUAGGUGGAUUGUUAAGUCAGUUGUGAAAGUUUGUGGCUCAACCGUAAAAUUGCAGUUGAAACUGGCAGUCUUGAGUACAGUAGAGGUGGGCGGAAUUCGUGGUGUAGCGGUGAAAUGCUUAGAUAUCACGAAGAACUCCGAUUGCGAAGGCAGUUCACUGGACUGCAACUGACACUGAGGCUCGAAAGUGUGGGUAUCAAACAGGAUUAGAUACCCCUGUAGUC